rnacentral:misc_RNA from 1 species
UUUCCGUAGGUGAACCUGCGGAAGGAUCAUUACCGAGUGAGGGCCCUCUGGGUCCAACCUCCCACCCGUGUUUAUCGUACCUUGUUGCUUCAGCGGGCCCGCCUCACGGCCGCCGGGGGGCACCCGCCCCCGGGCCCGCGCUCGCCGAAGACACCAUUGAACGCUGUCUGAAGAUUGCAGUCUGAGCAUCUUAGCUAAAUCAGUUAAAACUUUCAACAACGGAUCUCUUGGUUCCG